rnacentral:lncRNA from 1 species
GACAAGUGUACCAAACGAUAAUGGUACAAUGCUCUAGCUUUUAAGUGUUUAUGUUUUAGUGUUUAUAUGUUUAUGUGUUUAUAUGUUAACAAAUAUACGUAUAUGAAAAUUGGCCCCUGAGGAUGCUAAGGAGUUUAGCGAAACGUAGGGCAAAGCAGUGAAGAAAAAACGUUGUUUUUACUUGCACUAAUCACCAACUAGGCCAAAGAAGCUCAUCAAAAUUAAUAAAA